rnacentral:rRNA from 1 species
AACUUCGGCCAUACCAAGCAAGAAGCACUGCAUCCCGUUUGAUCUGCAAAGUUAAGCUGCUUAGGGCUUCGUCAGUACUGCGGUAGGUGACUACGCUGGACCCCAAGUGUCGAAGUUU